UACGGAGGGUGCAAGCGUUAUCCGGAUUCACUGGGUUAAAGGGUGCGUAGGAGGGCAGGUAAGUCAGUGGUGAAAUCUCCAAGCUUAACUUGGAAACUGCCGUUGAUACUAUCUGUCUUGAAUACCGUGGAGGUGAGCGGAAUAUGUCAUGUAGCGGUGAAAUGCUUAGAUAUGACAUAGAACACCAAAUUGCGAAGGCAGCUCGCUACACGAAUAUUGACUCUGAGGCACGAAAAGCGUGGGGAUCAAACAGG
rnacentral:rRNA from 1 species